CCUACGGGUGGCAGCAGUGGGGAAUAUUGGACAAUGGGCGAAAGCCUGAUCCAGCCAUGCCGCGUGUGUGAAGAAGGCCUUCGGGUUGUAAAGCACUUUCAGUUGGGAAGAAAGCCUUGGGGCUAAUACCCUCGAGGAAGGACAUCACCCACAGAAGAAGCACCGGCUAACUCCGUGCCAGCAGCCGCGGUAAUACGGAGGGUGCGAGCGUUAAUCGGAAUUACUGGGCGUAAAGCGCGCGUAGGCGGUCUGAUAAGCCGGGUGUGAAAGCCCCGGGCUCAACCUGGGAACGGCAUCCGGAACUGUCAGGCUAGAGUGCAGGAGAGGAAGGUAGAAGUCCCGGUGUAGCGGUGAAAUGCGUAGAGAUCGGGAGGAAUACCAGUGGCGAAGGCGGCCUUCUGGACUGACACUGACGCUGAGGUGCGAAAGCGUGGGUAGCAAACAGGAUUAGAUACCCCUGUAGUC
rnacentral:rRNA from 1 species